rnacentral:rRNA from 1 species
GACGAACGCUGGCGGCGUGCCUAAUACAUGUAAGUCGAACGCUUCUUUUUCCACCGGAGCUUGCUCCACCGGAAAAAGAGGAGUGGCGAACGGGUGAGUAACACGUGGGUAACCUGCCCAUCAGAAGGGGAUAACACUUGGAAACAGGUGCCAAUACCGUAUAACAAUCGAAACCGCAUGGUUUUGAUUUGAAAGGCGCUUUCGGGUGUCGCUGAUGGAUGGACCAGCGGUGCAUUAGCUAGUUGGUGAGGUAACGGCUCACCAAGGCCACGAUGCAUAGCCGACCUGAGAGGGUGAUCGGCCACAUUGGGACUGAGACACGGCCCAAACUCCUACGGGAGGCAGCAGUAGGGAAUCUUCGGCAAUGGACGAAAGUCUGACCGAGCAACGCCGCGUGAGUGAAGAAGGUUUUCGGAUCGUAAAACUCUGUUGUUAGAGAAGAACAAGGAUGAGAGUAACUGUUCAUCCCUUGACGGUAUCUAACCAGAAAGCCACGGCUAACUACGUGCCAGCCGCCGCCGUAA